rnacentral:rRNA from 1 species
GACAGAGGAUGCAAGCGUUAUCCGGAAUGAUUGGGCGUAAAGCGUCUGUAGGUGGCUUUUCAAGUCCGCCGUCAAAUCCCAGGGCUCAACCCUGGACAGGCGGUGGAAACUGCCAAGCUGGAGUACGGUAGGGGCAGAGGGAAUUUCCGGUGGAGCGGUGAAAUGCGUAGAGAUUUGGAGGAACACCAGUGGCGAAGGCGACUUUCUGGUCUGUAACUGACACUGAGGCGCGAAAGCGUGGGGAGCGAACAGG